rnacentral:rRNA from 1 species
UACGAAGGUCCCAAGCGUUAUCCGGAAUCACUGGGCGUAAAGCGUCUGUAGGUGGUCAAAUAAGUCAACUGUUAAAUCUUGAGGCUCAACCUCAAAAUCGCAGUCGAAACUAUUCGACUAGAGUAUAGUAGGGGUAAAGGGAAUUUCCAGUGGAGCGGUGAAAUGCGUAGAGAUUGGAAAGAACACCGAUGGCGAAGGCACUUUACUGGGCUAUUACUAACACUGAGAGACGAAAGCUAGGGUAGCAAAUGGG